rnacentral:rRNA from 1 species
UACGGGGGGGGCAAGCGUUGUUCGGAAUUACUGGGCGUAAAGGGUUUGUAGGUGGCUGAUUAAGUCAGACGUGAAAUCCCUCAGCUUAACUGGGGAACUGCGUCUGAUACUGGUUAGCUUGAGUGCAGGAGAGGAACGCGGAAUUCCAGGUGUAGCGGUGAAAUGCGCAGAUAUCAGGAAGAACACCCGUGGCGAAGGCGGUUCUCUGGGACGGUACUGACGCUGAGACGCGAAAGCGUGGGGAGCGAACAGG